CCUAAGGUAGCGAAAUUCCUUGUCGGGUAAGUUCCGACCCGCACGAAAGGCGUAACGAUUUGGGCACUGUCUCAACAACAGACUCGGUGAAAUUGUAAUACCGGUGAAGAUGCCGGUUACCUGCGACAGGACGGAAAGACCCCAUGGAGCUUUACUGUAGCUUGACAUUGAGUCUCGGUGCUACAUGUACAGGAUAGGUGGGAGACUAUGAAGCAUGGACGUCAGUCUGUGUGGAGUCAUCCUUGGGAUACCACCCUUGUAGUACUGGGAUUCUAACCAGAGGCCAUGAAUCUGGUCUUGGGACACUGUCAGGUGGACAGUUUGACUGGGGCGGUCGCCUCCCAAAAAGUAACGGAGGCGCUCAAAGGUUCUCUCAGUACGGUCGGAAAUCGUACGAAGAGUGUAAAGGCAAAAGAGAGCUUGAUUGCAAGACAUACAGGUCGAGCAAGGACGAAAGUCGGACUUAGUGAUCCGGUGGUUCCGCAUGGAAGGGCCAUCGCUCAACGGAUAAAAGCUACCCUGGGGAUAACAGGCUGAUCUCCCCCAAGCGUCCACAGCGACGGGGAGGUUUGGCACCUCGAUGUCGGCUCGUCACAUCCUGGGGCUGAAUUCGGUCCCAAGGGUUCGGCUGUUCGCCGAUUAAAGUGGCACGCGAGCUGGGUUCAGAACGUCGUGAGACAGUUCGGUCCCUAUCUGUUGCGGGCGUAAGAGAUUUGAAGGGAGCUGUCCUUAGUACGAGAGGACCGGGAUGGACGUACCUCUGGUGCACCAGUUGUCCUGCCAAGGGCAUAGCUGGGUAGCUAAGUACGGACGAGAUAAACGCUGAAAGCAUCUAAGCGUGAAACUCCCCCUAAGAUUAGAUCUCUCAUUCGAAAGAAGUAAGGCACGACGUAGACUAUGUCGUUGAUAGGCCGGAGGUGGAAGCACGGUAACGUGUGCAGCUGACCGGUACUAAUAAGCCGAGGGCUUGACCU
rnacentral:rRNA from 1 species